rnacentral:rRNA from 1 species
GAUGAACGCUAGCGGGAGGCUUAACACAUGCAAGUCGAGGGGCAGCAUAGGGUAGCAAUACUCUGAUGGCGACCGGCAAACGGGUGAGUAACGCGUAUGCAACCUACCCUGUACAGGGGGAUAACCCGGAGAAAUUCGGACUAAUAUCCCGUAAUAAUAUCCGGAGGCAUCUUUGGAUAUUUAAAGUUCCGACGGUACGGGAUGGGCAUGCGUAACAUUAGCUGGUUGGUAAGGUAACGGCUUACCAAGGCUAUGAUGUUUAGGGGUCCUGAGAGGGUGGUCCCCCACACUGGUACUGAGACACGGACCAGACUCCUACGGGAGGCAGCAGUGAGGAAUAUUGGUCAAUGGGCGCAAGCCUGAACCAGCCACUCCCGCGUGCAGGAAGACGGCCCUAUGGGUUGUAAACUGCUUUUCCUAGGGAGAGAACUUAACGCACGUGUUGCGUGACUGACGGUACCCUGGGAAGUAAGCAUCGGCUAACUCCGUG